GUGCGCGGAACGUGUUCGAUCGACCCGCGCGAGAAAGCGAGCGCGGCAGCCGCCGCGCUCGCUCACACUGCGACAGGGGAGUUCAGUCAGUCGGUCGGUGCCGUUGCCAGCCGCUGCACCACGUUGCGCUUCUCCACGGGGUUGUUUGAUAUCGUGACAUUUACUCAUACACAGCCACUUACACACACACACGCGCGCGCGCGCGCGCGCGGAUACGAGCACGGUGCAACCAGCUCGUCGCAAUCGGACAAUCUUAAUUCUCGCGGUAACACAGCAUUCCGCAAGGAAAUACGCUAGAGAUUGAUAGAGCGGUGGAUUUGGAUCGCAUUCAAGAUCGAACACAACCCUUCUUAACAAUCCCCCUCCCUCCUCCCCCCACCGACGGUCGAGCGAGGCAACACAUGUGCUUGCGGCGGAGCGACGUAUGUGGGACGAUGUGAGGCGACGAUCGGCAGGUGUGAUGCAGCACAAAGACAACAUGUUCCUGCCGCCAGUGCACGGACGGAGGUUGUUGGAAUAGCCGAGGCGUUCUACGAGCACUCCGCAAAAGGCAGUCGAUACGAGAACGGCACGUUCUACUUAUUUCCCGCAGUAACCACCGUGGACCAUGAAGAGGCCCUCCAUCAAGACGUUCGCGUGGACAUUCUGCCUGUCCACUCUUUUAUCCCUCCCGACGAGAACAGGCGCCCUGGAAGAGAAUUGCACGGACUUUCAGGGCGGCACUGUCAGACACGGCCUCCUCUAUGUGCCGGGACCUGCGGUCUGCAGUCUCUGCGUCUGCUAUCAUUCCGAGCCGAUGUGGUGUCAAUCCAUCUACUGUACCCCACCGUAUAAAUGCAAAAAGUUCCGCGUGGGCGAGCGCUGCUGCGAGUUCGAGUGCUUGGACGAGGCAAGCGACGACAACGGUCCGGACAUAUACGACGCGGCAGGAUCGUCGAGGAGCCAGCAUCAGAGUGUUCUCUAUCUACUCGGCCUGGUCAUGCUGCUGAUAGUGCCCUAGUUACGACCGGAUGGGUCCCGCGAUCAUCGUCGCCGCAGGCCUCACGCUCGUCGAAGGAAUUUGCCUGUUAACGAUAUUAGGUUACCCGACGAGGAAAACGACGACGAUGACGACGACGACGACGACGACGACGAGAGAAUUGCGCACGAGGAACACCGCAAACAGAAAAAUGAUCCGCGAGAAACAAGCUUUCUCGACUGAUUUUCCGACAUAGAAACUUCAAAACGGUACUAAUACCGACACCGACGCAACAAAUCCGAGCGACAUGGGGCCAUACGUAUAUAAUAGUGUAAUGUAUACGAAUGUUUUCGCCUUUGUCGAUGGAGAAAAGUAAAUGAGAACAACAUGGUGCUAAGUCAUUCCUCGUUAAGAGGAACGACGUCGUACAUUACUAUGAACACUCGCGAAUUUCCCGUAUCGCGUACACAUUGUUCACGCGCGUAUGCUUGCCUGUGAUAUACUUUUAACGGCGCUUGAUUGCUAUUACACCGCCCUUGGAUCGUUAAUCGCUUCGCGAAUCUCAAGGGCUUCGAUUGGACGACGUUGUACGAAUUUUGCACGUACUUUCUACUAGGGAAAUUCUCUUAGUAAAAAAAUAAAGAGGAAUAUAGGAAUGGUUCUUAGUUUCUGAGUGAUCGUUUACGGAUUAUGAGACGUUACACAGCUUGUUUUAAUUUAAAUAGAGACUUGCAGACUUUCUCAGAUUCCUUUUUAUUUUCUUGCUAAUUUGAAGAUCGAAACGUUUGAGAAUUGAAAUUUAACCUUCUGUGGACCGAUUUCACAGAAUUUAACCAACUCGUCAUCACUUCUUUAAACGAUAGAAAUUUACGUCAAAAGCUAUGAAGGUUAAUUACAAUUGUAUAAGAAUGACGGUGCUGAUAAUAAUGGUUAUGAUUAUAAUUAAUAAUUUUAUCGAUUAGUUGCAUAAGACGAAUACUCCGAGGAGACAUUUAAUAUUUAAAAAUAGCUUCGAUCCAGCGAUUCAUAUUCAUCGACUCAUGUUUGAAUUGUAAAUAUUCGUCGCGCGGAUUUUGUGCAAAAAUCAAGCGGAGCUCGAUGACGGCAUUACCAGAGCCGAGCCGCUAGAGCGGAGAUAACAGAAGAGAGUAUCCGAGAUUAAGUUGCGCUAGAACUUAAGUAUGACACACCCGUUUGGUAUAUGAGAUACCUGACUCGAGUACGAUCCAAUUUCUAACAUAAUUCUGAUCUUUCCGAAAGUUUUGCCAGAGAGAUAUUUUACUAGACGCCCCGAAGUAUGCAAGCUAAGACACAUUUACAGAGAAUCUACCGAAAAUAUAUAACAACACAAGUUUCCUCAAUAUCUCCAUCCUGAGUAGGGACGUUUGAAGCUUAGAGAGGCCGUAUCCGGAGCAGGUACCUCAAGUGACAACUCGGAGCGAAUUUAUUUGGUGAAUUUAAUUGUCCCAUCUCGACGGGAAGAAGUGAUAUCCUCGUCGGUUGAUGGAAAGCGCCCAAAUACGCGCUUUCCUUUUGCGCCUCGCCAUUGUACUUUUCCUCACCUCUCUCCUCUCUACUCGACCCAGCCCAGCGGAGAGAAUAUUGAAUUUAUUAAUCGACCAAUUUCUCUAAGCUUACAUUUUAAACUAAUGUUUACAAAAAGAAAGGAAGAUACUAUAUAUAUAUAGUAUCUUCCUUUUAUAUAUAUAUAUAUAUAUAUAUAAUAUAACCUAUUUCAAUGUAAAUACCUAGACGAUAGCUUUAAUAUUACUACAAUACGUAAUUACUCUCGAUCGUAAUUAUAUCAUUUAAUGAUCAAGGGGCCUUUUAUGUAUGAUGAGAGAACGAUCGUUCGGAAUUCACGAAAUAUUACAAGGUUACAAUAAAAGUUUAUUUCAAACAAUAUCCAGAAUAUCGAUAAGCCCGAUAUAUACAAUAAGAGUCCCUGGCUUGAAUCUUCCCUUGAUUCCUAGACCGACGGGAUCGGUACGUCGUACCCGACGUCUUUCGUAGAUGUAAUCGAUAGCGUAAUGAUAAGGAUACGCGUAAUGAUAAGGCGAAAGUAAGAAUUGGGAUACCAUGAAGAAUGUUAUAGAACAAUAAAGUUUAUUCACAUGA
rnacentral:misc_RNA from 1 species